rnacentral:lncRNA from 13 species
ACUCACUGCAGGAAUACAUUAGGAAAGACAAGAGAACCCACAGAUCCUCUGAAGGAAGCAGACUGCUCCUGCAGGACCUAGGAGACACACCAAAUACUGUGAGUGCCCAAACUGUGGAAGUGGGAAAUGGAGAUCAUCUGCCCCCAAACACCCCCCCACACUGGAGAACCUUGAAGAUCUAGAUUACAGGAGAAUAUUCUGACCUCACCUGCAGUUGCAGGCAGAUAGAGAGUGGCACUGGAAUCAUCUGAAGUUCAACUGGGCUGGACCUUCAAGAUGGCUUCUUCCCUUGCAUGCCUGGACCCUCAUUGUGGAUGGCUGGAACAGCUGGCCACUGGCUGGGCACUGAGACUUUAUUACAUGGCAUGGCAUUCAUGACGAUGGGAGGAGCAGGCAGAAAUGCAGGCCGGAACAUUCCACAGACCAGGGACAGUUUCCAGAAAUGGUUGCAGAGGGGGUCUGGCUUCCCGGGGGUGGCUGGAGCAGACACUCAGACAGUGCGCCACCAGCAGCUGCUUGACUGCGAGAGCUCGUCACCUGGCCCGGGGAGCUGGCCAGCCCCAGGCCUGUAUGCUUGCUGAUGAGGAGGGACCCCUUUCCUGCACUGGGGGAAUAUGGAUGGAGGUGGAGGCCAUUAUCCUUAGCAAACUAAAGCAGGAACAGAAAACCAAAUACUACUUGUUCUCACUUAUAAGUGGUAGGUAA